rnacentral:rRNA from 1 species
UAUCUCUGUAGAGUCUGCAUAUCAAUAAGCGGAGGAAAAGAAACUAACAAGGAUUCCCUUAGUAACGGCGAGUGAAGCGGGAAGAGCUCAAAUUUGAAAUCUUCAAGGUUUUACCUUGACGAAUUGUAGCUUAAAGAAGUGUUUUCUGUUGAAGUUUCGGUAAAAGUUCUUUGGAAUAGGACAUCAUAGAGGGUGAGAAUCCCGUAUUUGACCGUUAUUUUCAGCUGUGUGAUACACUUUCAAAGAGUCGGAUUGUUUGGGAAUGCAGUCCAAAAUGGGUGGUAAAUUUCAUCUAAAGCUAAAUAUUGGCGAGAGACCGAUAGCGAACAAGUACCGUGAGGGAAAGAUGAAAAGAACUUUGAAAAGAGAGUUAAACAGUACGUGAAAUUGUCAAAAGGGAAGCGUUUGACACCAGUGUUGUUUUCUCGAAAAUCAAUUAAAAAUGGCUUGAUUUUGUGUUGUAUUGACCUUAAAAGCUUUCUGCACCUUUUUCAUGUCUUUUUUAAUGCACUUUUCGUUUAACAAGUCAACAUCAGUUUCUUUUGUUGUAAAAAGGUCAUUGGAAGGUGGCUUUCUUUUCGGAGAAAGUGUUUAUAGCCUUUGACUCCUGCAAUCGGAGAGACUGAGGUCUGCAGCGUAGAUCCUUCUUGGAUUAGAUUCAUUUGUGCUAAGUUAUAGCUUUUUAUAGACAACUUGUUGACUAUAUUUAGUCUUGUAGCUUACUCGCUUAUGUUAAUUUUACCUACGCUUAGGAUGUUGAACGCGCACAGAGUCUC